rnacentral:rRNA from 1 species
GAUAAACGCUGGCGGCGUGCUUAACACAUGCAAGUCGAACGAAGUUUUUCCUUCGGGAGACACUUAGUGGCGGACGGGUGAGUAACGCGUGGGUAACCUGCCCUGUACAGGGGGACAACAGCUGGAAACGGCUGCUAAUACCGCAUAAGCACUUAGCACUGCAUGGUGCAUAGGGAAAAGGAGCAAUCCGGUACAGGAUGGACCCGCGUCUGAUUAGCCAGUUGGCAGGGUAACGGCCUACCAAAGCGACGAUCAGUAGCCGAUCUGAGAGGAUGUACGGCCACAUUGGGACUGAGACACGGCCCAGACUCCUACAGGAGGCAGCAGUGGGGAAUAUUGCACAAUGGAGGAAACUCUGAUGCAGCGACGCCGCGUGAGUGAAGAAGUAUUUCGGUAUGUAAAGCUCUAUCAGCAGGGAAGAAAAUGACGGUACCUGACGAAGAAGCACCGGCUAAAUACGUG